UCAAUUGAGACAGGGUCUUACUCUGUCACCCAGGCUGGAGUGCAGUGGCAUGAUCGUGGCUCACUAUAGCCUUGACCUGGACUCAAGCAAUUCUCCCACCUCAGCCUCCCAAGUAGAUGGGACCACAGGUGCACACCACCACACUCAGCUAAUUUUUAAUUUUUUUCAUAGAAAUGGAGUCUCGCCAUGUUGUGCUGGGACUACAGGUGCAAGCCAUCAUGUAGUGGGAGAUUGGAAGGAGGAAGAAGACUAAGAUGAUCUGUCCAUCGCUGAAAGUGAGGUGGUGAUAUCCCCUACUGUUGUUGUAUUGUAGCUAAUCUCUCUUUUUAGUUCUAUUAAUAUUUGUUUUAUAUAUUUGGCUGCUUCAGGGUUGAGUGCAUAUAUAUGUAAAAUUGU
rnacentral:lncRNA from 1 species